rnacentral:rRNA from 1 species
AGUGAACGCUGGCGGUAGGCCUAACACAUGCAAGUCGAACGGCAGCACAGUAAGAGCUUGCUCUUACGGGUGGCGAGUGGCGGACGGGUGAGGAAUACAUCGGAAUCUACUUUUUCGUGGGGGAUAACGUAGGGAAACUUACGCUAAUACCGCAUACGACCUACGGGUGAAAGCAGGGGAUCUUCGGACCUUGCGCGAUUGAAUGAGCCGAUGUCGGAUUAGCUAGUUGGCGGGGUAAAGGCCCACCAAGGCGACGAUCCGUAGCUGGUCUGAGACGAUGAUCAGCCACACUGGAACUGAGACACGGUCCAGCUUCCUACGGGAGGCAGCAGUGGGGAAUAUUGGACAAUGGGCGCAAGCCUGAUCCAGCCAUACCGCGUGGGUGAAGAAGGCCUUCGGGUUGUAAAGACCUUUUGUUGGGAAAGAAAAGCAGCAGGUUAAUACCCCGCUGUUCUGACGGUACCCAAAGAAUAAGCACCGGCUAACUUCGUG